AUAGUAUCUUUUUUGUCUCUUUCUCUUUCUUUACUUUUCCAAAGCAUUUCUCCUUCACUUGUUUACUUUUUUUUUUUUAAUAUUUGAGUUUCUUUUCUUUCUUAACUCUUCAUGUGCCAUUUUUCACUUUAUAGAGUCUUCGUUAGAAAACUUAAUUAUUCAAGUUUCUAGAGUUCUUUGAGUUUCUUCUCUCUUUCAAAUAAGUUUGCCAUUGAUUAUUGAAAGGGUGGUGCGGUUGCUGACUUAGGUGACUCGAAUGAAGCCGAGAAUCAAGAGUCUGCCGAGUCUAAAGGGAAAGCAUUGAAGAGUAAACCUUCUCCAUUGUCUAAAGGCAAAUCUAUUAUGAAGGAAUCAUCGUAUUCUUCUGUUCCUGAUGUGAACAAUGGUGAUGUUGCUGGUUUAAAUGAGUUGAAGGAGGCCGACAUGCACGAGAGUGCUGAGUCUAAGGAGAAACCAUUGACGAGAAAAUCUGCUCCAUUGUCUAAGAGCAAAGCAAGUGUAAAGAAAACAAAGAAACUAACGAUUGGAGGCUUUAGUCGAGUAAAGUGCAAGACUAACAAUAAAAAUUUGAAGAAGAAUGCUAGUUCACUGGCUAAACGGAAGGUAUUUUUUGUUGUUUCAUUUAAUUUUUUUCAUGUGAUUUUGUUUUGAAGAUGGUUUUUAUGGUUAUAUGUUAUAAUAUUUUUAAUUAUUUGCCCAAAUUUGCUUGUUAUUAUUGUAUAUAAUAUAUGUACAUUGUGCUUCAGAAUUGUUUACAUGUUUUAUUGCUCUGUUAAAAUUUGUUUCAUUUUUUAAAAUUUAAUUGCUCAAGUUGGAAAAUAAUGGUUUUAUUAUAUACAUACCAUGGACUGUUUGUUUAGAUGUUGUUAAUAUGUGUUAUGUUUAUGUAACGAUACGUUACAAGGUUGUUAACGUUGUUACCGAUGUUGUAAACAUGUGUUUGUUUUAUGUAAAUAUAUGUUACAGGUCCUAAGUUUGUAGUUUAUACUUUAUAGGUCCCAUCUGCUUGAAAUAUGUUUUCAAUUUUGUUGAUGUUCUGUUAUGAGUUAUGUACAUAGUGAUUUUAUAGAAUAUAAGUUCAGUAUGUUUAAGGGAUUUUUACAUGUUUUAUUGCUCUUUUAAUAGCUGUUACAAUUUUUGUUUAUUUUAGUUGAAGAUAAUGGUUCUAUUCUAUACAUACCAGGUUAUAUUUGUUUAGAUAUUGCUAACAUGUGUUAUGUUUUUGUAAAUAUAUAUUAUAGGGUUGUUAAUGUCCUUGAUCUAAUAUUAUGUAGAUGUGGAUUAUAUGUUACAAUUUUGGUGAUAUAUUUUAUUGCUCUGUAAAAUUAUGUUACAAGUUUGUUAAUGUGGGUUGUACAUUAUUCUAUGCAACUUAUGGAGUGUUUUAUCAAACAUCAAGAUCAUUAUAGAGCAAGAGUCAAUUUUUAUUCUUCUUUUGAGAAGAUCAAUGUGAUCUCUAAAAAAUUGAUUGAGCCCCUAAAGGAUUUGUUUAGUAAGACUUGUUUUGGUCAUUUUCUAAACAUUAAAUCCUAUGCUAAUCAAGCUAAGCUAAACUGGUUCACCGUGUAUUGUUGACGGAAGUUAACCAUCCAAAAUUAAAUGAAAUGCAAUUUAAAGUUUGUUGAAAGCUGAUUAGGAUUUCAUUGGGUGAAUUUGGGUUAUUUACUGGGUUAAAUGUGUUUGGUUAGAUUGAUAGGGUGGAAUUAAGAACAGUAAUCCUAUUGGAAUGUAUUCUAAAUUUUUUGGUGACCAUACAAGGGGCAUUUCAAGAAUAAUUGUUGAAGAAAGGUUUAAGGCUGCCAAUUUUGAUAAUGAUGAUGAGGCUGUUAGGAUGGUUGUACUUAACCUCAUCACUAACUUUUUGUAUGCUUGCAAAAAGAGAAGAACAUUGAAAAAUAUGUCUUGUAUCUUUGUGUAGUGGUGGGUUUAAUCAUUUUCUAUGGGGUAAGGAUAUUUUUAUUGUGAAUCUCUCAUCAUUGAGAGAUGCUUUAAGGGAAAAUGAAGUUAUUAUUACUAGAAAAUGUUUUUACCCAGCCUAUAAGUUGAAUGGAUUGUCAUUUGCUUUCCAAGUUUUCAUUUAUGAAUCAAUUCCUAGUUUAGUGGGAACUUUAUUGUGAGAAGGUUAGUUGUGGUCUGCCUACGAUUAUAAAUUGGUCAUCUGAUGCAAUUCCAUCUCAUAAGGAGCUUGAGAGGAAUGUGUUUUCAUUACAUAAGAUCGAAAUUGUUAAUGUUUUACCCACUGAUGAAGAGAAUAAUGCCUUCAAGCUUGAAGGUUUUUUCCAUUCAAGCUUGAAGGUUUUUUCUAGUGUGACAAGGAUUUUAAUGUUGUUGACGUUGAAGAAGAUGAUUUUGUUGCUCCUCCAAAGAAACCAACAAGUGAGGCUCCUUCAUCAUCUUAUGUUCCUUGUGUGACAUUUGACUUUUCUGAUCUUAAAAUUAUUUCGGAUGACUGUCAAAAGAAGUGUAACAAUAUGUCUAAGGAAAUUGUAAUGUUAAAGUCUACUAGUGAAUCUAGACAUGACGCAUUGAUGGAGAUGUUGGUUAAUUUGAAAAAUGAUCAAGAUAGAAGAUACACGGCUGUCAUGGAAAUCUUAGGUGAGCUGAGGCAGAAAUCAUGUGUUAUUAAUGAUGAUAUUGAUCAUGUUUAUGGUGGUUUUGUGAGAGCUGACUGUUAUGGUGGAAUGAGUGGCAAUGAGGCUGAUGUGAAUGGUUUAUUUGGGAGGAAGGAUGAUGUUGGUGAUGCUUCUGGUGGUGGUGUUGUUUUAAAGAAGAAUGACAAGAUUUUUGAGAAUGAAAGUUUUACCCAAGUUUUGAUGAGUGCAUUCAACCAAUGCAAUAAGAUGCUGCUGGAGAUACGAUAAUUGAAGAUGACAAAAAUGAUGCAACAAAUAAGAAUGAGGAUACUACUUGGAAUGAUAUUGAAGAAACAAAGGGUAUCACUAAAAAACUGAAUUGAUCUUCAAAUUUCUUCACAGUCUUCCAAAGUAUCCUUAGAAACACCUAGACUAGAGUGGGCAAUUCUCAACACAUGAGAUAAAUACAAAGAGAAUAAGAGAAUAGAAUAUUGAGGCUUAGAAAAGGACUUUUGCUGUAGAGAGAGUCUAAAACCUUAAUGCAUCAAAAGUAGAUCUUCUGAUUUCAA